AUUGAACGCUGGCGGCAGGCCUAACACAUGCAAGUCGAGCGGAUGAAGGGAGCUUGUUCCUGGAUUCAGCGGCGGACGGGUGAGUAAUGCCUAGGAAUCUGCCUGGUAGUGGGGGAUAAUGUCCGGAAACGGGCGCUAAUACCGCAUACGACCAGCGGGAGAAAGUGGGGGAUCUUCGGACCUCACGCUAUCAGAUGGGCCUAGGUCGGAUUAGCUAGUUGGUGGGGUAAAGGCCUACCAAGGCGACGAUCCGUAACUGGUCUGAGAGGAUGAUCAGUCACACUGGAACUGAGACACGGUCCAGACUCCUACGGGAGGCAGCAGUGGGGAAUAUUGGACAAUGGGCGAAAGCCUGAUCCAGCCAUGCCGCGUGUGUGAAGAAGGUCUUCGGAUUGUAAAGCACUUUAAGUUGGGAGGAAGGGCAGUAAGUUAAUACCUUGCUGUUUUGACGUUACCAACAGAAUAAGCACCGGCUAACUACGUG
rnacentral:rRNA from 1 species